UAGAGUUUGAUCCUGGCUCAGGAUGAACGCUAGCGACAGGCUUAACACAUGCAAGUCGAGGGGCAGCACGGGAGUAGCAAUACAACUGGUGGCGACCGGCGCACGGGUGAGUAACGCGUAUGCAACCUACCUAUCAGAGGGGAAUAACCCGGCGAAAGUCGGACUAAUACCGCAUAAAACAGGGGCACCGCAUGGUGAUAUUUGUUAAAGAAAUUCGCUGAUAGAUGGGCAUGCGUUCCAUUAGGUAGUUGGUGAGGUAACGGCUCACCAAGCCGACGAUGGAUAGGGGAACUGAGAGGUUGGUCCCCCACACUGGUACUGAGACACGGACCAGACUCCUACGGGAGGCAGCAGUGAGGAAUAUUGGUCAAUGGGCGAGAGCCUGAACCAGCCAAGUCGCGUGAAGGAAGAAGGAUCUAUGGUUCGUAAACUUCUUUUGCAGGGGAAUAAAGUGCGGGACGUGUCCUGUUUUGUAUGUACCCUGAGAAUAAGGAUCGGCUAACUCCGUGCCAGCAGCCGCGGUAAUACGGAGGAUCCGAGCGUUAUCCGGAUUUAUUGGGUUUAAAGGGUGCGUAGGUGGUUUUAUAAGUCAGCGGUGAAAGUUUGCAGCUUAACUGUAAAAAUGCCGUUGAAACUGUAAGACUUGAGUGUAAAUGAGGUAGGCGGAAUGCGUGGUGUAGCGGUGAAAUGCAUAGAUAUCACGCAGA
rnacentral:rRNA from 1 species